AUUGAGGAAUCAAGGAGAGGAAGUUCUUUGCUGGACCUGAUGCUUAUAAACAAGAAGAACUGGUCUGGAGUGUGAAGGUUGGAUCAGCCUUGGAUUUAGGGAUUAUGCAAUGGAGCCUCUUGCUUUGAGUGUGAUUCCCUCGAUCUGAAAUGGUUUCCCUGGAUCUGAGUGUGUGCUCCUUUCCCCCGUGCAGAGAGCAGCACAACAGAACCCAGAUCCUGUGGACAAGGAUGCUGCUGGAUGGAUGGAAAACAGCUGAAUGGAUUGUGUGUCCCCUCCUUUAGAAAAUGUGAUAUGGAUGUGAGUACCUGUCUGUUGCCUAAACAGUGAAUAAACUCUGCCUGGAUUUCUGUCUACAGAAUGGAUGUUUUCCUUUCUGUAAGUCUCUUUUUUCUGUAAG
rnacentral:lncRNA from 13 species